CCUACGGGUGGCAGCAGUGGGGAAUAUUGCACAAUGGGCGCAAGCCUGAUGCAGCCAUGCCGCGUGUGUGAAGAAGGCCUUCGGGUUGUAGAGCACUUUCAGCGGGGAGGAAGGCGGUGAGGUUAAUAACCUCAUCGAUUGACGUUACCCGCAGAAGAAGCACCGGCUAACUCCGUGCCAGCAGCCGCGGUAAUACGGAGGGUGCAAGCGUUAAUCGGAAUUACUGGGCGUAAAGCGCACGCAGGCGGUCUGUCAAGUCGGAUGUGAAAUCCCCGGGCUCAACCUGGGAACUGCAUUCGAAACUGGCAGGCUAGAGUCUUGUAGAGGGGGGUAGAAUUCCAGGUGUAGCGGUGAAAUGCGUAGAGAUCUGGAGGAAUACCGGUGGCGGAGGCGGCCCCCUGGACAACGACUGACGCUCAGGUGCAAAAGCGUGGGGAGCAAACAGGAUUAGAUACCCGCGUAGUC
rnacentral:rRNA from 1 species